GGUUGUGGCUUAGUGGUAGAGCAUUUGCAUAGCAUGUAUGAGGUACUGGGUUCAAUCCUCAGCACCA
rnacentral:tRNA from 1 species